UGGAACAUGGCAAAGUGUAUCUGAUGUUUGUUGUAGAACAAUGUCCUGAGCAGUCAGUCCUCCAGACAUCUGACAAUACAUGGCUUCCACCCCAAUUACGGCCUCUCUGAAAAUCAGUGUGGGCCACUCUAGCCCUGGUGACAGAUGUCAAUUUCCAGGAAGUGAAAGGGCAGAAGUGACUUUGCCUACUUAUUCAUUACCCUGCAUAGUGACUUGGAAGCCAUUUUUGACCACCACCUGCUUGAGGUCAGCAUUGGAGACUGCACCCAUCCAAACAACCACACCCAUUCACUCACCAGGGACAUGCAUCUAGUGGGGGCAUCCUCCAAUCCAGCCACCACCUACUGAGCCAAGGUUCAUCCCUCUGUCUGUCCAUCAAUCAGUCCCCACCAGCCUUCAUCCAUCUAUGUCCAUCCUCCUUUAACCAUGACCCCUCCAUCCACAUCCAACAUCAUGUGCAAGCUUGGCACCAAGUGGACCAGGGAGGAAGUAAUAUAUCUCGUUGCCAUUUGGGGGAAGGUAGAGAACCAGUAGAAAAUCUAUCUAUUCAAGCCCCUAAAACCAGAUGGUCUUUGUAUCCUCAUGGUGAAUGAUGAAGUGGUGUGCCAGAACGUGAUGGACAUGGUCUGCAUCACCCAGCACAGCAAAGAGGCCUCUGAUGCCACUGUGAUCAAAUUCAUGCAUUCCUCACAGAAGACUUCAGCAAUGACCCAGGAGAUGAACCAGGUUGAAGAUUUUGGUGCAGACUUUGACAUUAAUCUAGACUCAGACCUCAGGUGGCCAGAUUUCUCCAGCUGUUUCCUGUCCUCAGCAUCCCAACCAGCCCUACUACGACAGGCUGACACCUACAAAUGAUGGUGAUGACACCACAGCAUCCUAUUAUGGUUGAAGAAUGUAGGCAGAGACCGGGGCCCAGAAAGCAUCCAGGCAGAGGAAGAGCCACACACAUACAGUAACAUGAACUGGGCUCUUUGGUGGAGGAUAGCUGGUCCUGGGUCAGAGGCAAGGGAGUGGCAGGAGAAAGAGCAGCUAUAUGACUGCCA
rnacentral:lncRNA from 1 species